AUGGAACCAGUGACCUGGUUCGCAGGCCAGUGCUCAGUCCACUGAGCCAUACCAGCCAGGGCUGUAACUUUGAUAAAUAUUGCCAAAUUGCCCUCCAUAGAGGUUUAUUAUUUUGCACAAUGUCUGAGAGUGCCUAUUUCCACUUUGCCAAGAGAGUAUAUUGUCCAACUUUUGAAAUUUUGCCAGUGUAAUUGGUAAAAAAUUUUAUCUUAGUGCAGUUUUAAAUUUCACCUGUCUUAUAAUGAGGGAGGUUUUUCAUCUUUUCAUUUGUUUCAGCCCAUUUGCAUUUCCCCAUAGUAACCCCUUUCUGCUGGAAUUAGCUAAAGUUGGCUCCUGUGGCUGUGUGUGGUUGCACUGUCUUUUACCCCUUUCUCCUAGAAGACAGUGCUUCUUCAUGCACUUAUUUUGAUAUUGGUUCCUGAAGGACCAAAGUGGAAGAGCUGGAUUUUACCCCAAGCAUCCAUCCUUCUAGAGAUAAAGGAAAAGGAGUUGAGGGUGGUCUCUGCCUCCAGCAUUGGCUGCAGCUUCCCAGCUCCGUCGUUAAAUGCUUGAGUUGGGAAUAAGCAAUAUGCUGGCCUGUUGGCAUGGUUCAGUAACUUCAACACAUCCACAGAUGUGACAUUCCUGUAUCUUCCUCCUUUUUGCUUUCUUCUCUUCCUAUCUUCCUUUUGUUCUUUCCUCCUCCUUUUGUUAUUCACUCAGUAGGCUAGAAGUCUGACAGGUCUCACAGGGACGGGGCUAAAUCCAGGUCUCAGCAGGGCUGCCUUCCUUUCUUUAGUCUCUGGGGGAGGAUGCAUUUCCCUGACUUUCCCAGCUUCGUGGCUCACGGCCCUCUUCCUCCAUCUCUGAAGCCACAGCAGUUAUCCAGGUCCCCCUCAUGUGUCACAUCACUCCUCCAGCAGCUUCCUCAUGGCCUUGCCCUUGAGUACUUCUUGCUGCUUCCAUGUCACCUGCUGAUUCAGUAUCACCCGCAGCUCAGGAGGAAAUGCCAGGUAGGAGAGUGGCUCUGUGAGUCUGCCUGGGCUCCCCUAACCCCUGUGUGCCCCAGUUUUCCCGUCUGUGAGUUAGGGCUCAUCAAGUACCUACACCAAUGAGUUCUCAAAAUGAAAUCAAGUUUAAUCAGUAAUUAUUUGAUAAAAGUAAUCAAGUAACUUUGACCCUUGGAGAAGGGAGAGGACAAGAUAACGUGACUUUUACCUCACUCUUUGCUCAAUAAAUAACUCAUUCUUGUACCAAGAAAAAAAAAUCAAUACAGUUUACACAUGAAUACUAAAGCAGGCUUCUUUGACGGUGUUUUCUGGGAGGCUCCACCCAGAUUUCUAGGCCUCCCGAGGAAUUAGGCUCAGCUACUGCUGGGAAAUCAUUAAUUUCCCAUCUACUACGUAGAUGACAGCAAUGGCAUUCCAGCAGCCUAAAAAGGAACCGAAGGAAGUCACUUUGUCAGGAAUACAAGCUUAAACAACUUUGCCAAAUGCCAAAAAGACCAUGUAAAACUCAAAGAGCUUCGGGACUGAUAAGAACCUAGCUGUUCUUGUGAUGAUUGUGAAUGUCUGUGCCUGCCUGCCACUGAGUUUUCUCUUUCAGCGUGAUUUCACUGUCAGCAUUCCAUGGCUCAGCACAGCUCCCCGCCUCGGCCCGAAGAGCUGGGCCAGUGCGCUCCAGCCUUUGCACUGGGCACUGGACUUGAUAAAGGAGGCUCUUUGUGAAAAGAGGGAAUUGUUUUAUCGAGGGGCCACUCUGUACCAGGCAUGGUGUGAGGUUCUUUCUUUACCAGCAUUCUCUUAUUUAAUCCUAAAAACAACUCUGUUUACAUCUGUUUUUUAAAUAACUGCGUCAUUGAAAUAUAAUUCCCAGACCAUAAAGUUCAGUGUUUUCAAGUGUACGACUCGGUGGUUUUAGUCUGUUCACAGCGUUGCGCAGCUGUCAGCACUGAUGCCAGAACAGUUCCGUUGCCCCAGAAAGAAGUGCUGUACCUGUUAGCAUUCCCUGCUCCCCUUGCCCCAGCCCCUGGCCACCACUAAUCUGUGGGUGAAGAAAAUGGGGACAAAAACCCACCGUGUCACGGUCUCUGAAAUUACCAUCUGUAGACCACCUUCAUAGAACCAUUCAGGGAGCUUUAAAUGCAAUUUGGGGACCCUGCCCGACCUGCAGAGAUAGACUGUGUUGGGGGCGGGGCCUGGGAACCUGCAUUCUCAAUAAGCUCCCACAUGAUUGCACAGACAGUUGCAUUUGAAUGCCUGGCCAAGCUGAGCCAAGUCCCUCUCCAGGCACACAGUCCUUUCCUCCACUUCUCAUGUGGCAGCUCCCUGCGCCCCCUCAAAUUAUAUUUCUGGAAAUCUGCCAGUUUAUUCUUUUUUUCUUUUUGUCACCUCCCUAUUUUUUUUUUAAAUAUUAGAUUUCAUUUUUAUUGUGGAGCACCUCUAUCAGGCAAAGUGCUACACACAGAACUACAAAUCAUUUUGGGGAAAAAGCUGUAAAAA